rnacentral:lncRNA from 1 species
GAAUGUAAGAGUAUGAUUGUAUAACAAACAGUGUGAUGAAGAAUGUGGUAUGAUUGUGUCAAAUGGUGGUCUAGGUCUUCAACAUAGUCAUGUUUGACUUUUGAAUAAGUGACAUUUGAAUAAGAGUUUUGAUAUCUUGUAUUUUUUCUUCGAAGAGAAGACAUGUAAGGUCAACAUAAGACAUUAAGGAGCUCUUUCAUUUAAAAAAAAAACAGUCUGAUCAAUGGCAAGAUGGAUUGUAAUGUUUCAUAGUUCGUAGGUCAAUAGAAUGACAUAAUUUUGUAUAUUAGGAUAGAUCAGUCACGUUAUAAUCUUAAUGGGAC